rnacentral:rRNA from 1 species
GAUCAAGCGACUAAGUGCAUGUGGUGGAUGCCUUGGCGAUUACAGGCGAUGAAGGACGUAGUAGCCUGCGAUAAGCUACGGGGAGCUGGCAAACAAGCUUUGAUCCGUAGAUUUCCGAAUGGGGAAACCCACAGCUUCGGCUGUAUCGCAUACUGAAUACAUAGGUAUGCGAGGCGAACCGGGUGAACUGAAACAUCUCAGUAGCUCGAGGAAAAGAAAUCAACCGAGAUUCCGAAAGUAGCGGCGAGCGAAAUUGGAUCAGCCUUUACGAUUUAGCAUCAGUAAUAGGGGAACAGUCUGGAAAGUCUGGCCAUAGCAGGUGAUAGUCCUGUACCCGAAAUUUCUGUUGUGGAACUAGGCGUAAGUUAAGUAGGGCGGGACACGUGUAAUCCUGUCUGAAUAUGGGGGGACCAUCCUCCAAGGCUAAAUACUCGUAAUCGACCGAUAGUGAACCAGUACCGUGAGGGAAAGGCGAAAAGAACCCCGGAAGGGGAGUGAAAUAGAUCCUGAAACCGCAUGCAUACAAACAGUAGGAGCGGACUUGUUCCGUGACUGCGUACCUUUUGUAUAAUGGGUCAGCGACUUACAUUCAGUGGCAAGCUUAACCGAAUAGGGAAGGCGUAGCGAAAGCGAGUCCGAAUAGGGCGACUAGUCGCUGGGUGUAGACCCGAAACCAGACGAUCUAUCCAUGGCCAGGUUGAAGGCACGGUAACACGUGCUGGAGGACCGAACCCACUAAUGUUGAAAAAUUAGGGGAUGAGCUGUGGAUAGGGGUGAAAGGCUAAACAAGUCUGGAAAUAGCUGGUUCUCCCCGAAAACUAUUUAGGUAGUGCCUCAAGUAUUACUCCAGGGGGUAGAGCACUGUUAUGGCUAGGGGGUCAUGGCGACUUACCAAACCAUUGCAAACUCCGAAUACCUGGAAGUACAGCUUGGGAGACAGAGCACCGGGUGCUAACGUCCGGACUCAAGAGGGAAACAACCCAGACCGCCAGCUAAGGUCCCCAAAUAUUGCUAAGUGGGAAACGAAGUGGGAAGGCAUAGACAGUCAGGAAGUUGGCUUAGAAGCAGCCAUCCUUUAAAGAAAGCGUAAUAGCUCACUGAUCGAGUCGUCCUGCGCGGAAGAUGUAACGGGGCUAAGCAAUAUACCGAAGCUGCGGAUGCGUGGAUCNNNNNNNNNNNNNNNNNNNNNNNNNNNNNNNNNNNNNNNNNNNNNNNNNNNNNNNNNNNNNNNNNNNNNNNNNNNNNNNNNNNNNNNNNNNNNNNNAUAUCCAUGCGUGGUAGGGGAGCGUUCUGUAAGCCUGCGAAGGUGUCUUGUAAAGGAUGCUGGAGGUAUCAGAAGUGCGAAUGCUGACAUGAGUAGCGAUAAAGAGGGUGAAAGGCCCUCUCGCCGUAAGUCCAAGGUUUCCUACGCAACGUUCAUCGGCGUAGGGUGAGUCGGCCCCUAAGGCGAGGCAGAGAUGCGUAGCUGAUGGGAAGCAGGUUAAUAUUCCUGCACCAUUGUUUAAUGCGAUGGGGGGACGGAUCGCGGAAGGUCAUCAGGGUGUUGGAAGUCCCUGUUACUGCAUCAAAGAAGGCGCUUAGGCAAAUCCGGGCGCGUAAUUCAAGGGUGUGGAACGAGCGAACUUGUUCGCGAAGUGAUCGGAAGUGGUUCCAAGAAAAGCCUCUAAGCUUCAGUUAAACAAGACCGUACCGCAAACCGACACAGGUGGACGGGAUGAGUAUUCUAAGGCGCUUGAGAGAACUCAGGAGAAGGAACUCGGCAAAUUGAUACCGUAACUUCGGGAGAAGGUAUGCCCUUGUAGCGUGAUGCACCUGCGUGCAAAGCGUGAAAGGGUCGCAGAUAAUCGGUGGCUGCGACUGUUUAAUAAAAACACAGCACUCUGCAAACACGAAAGUGGACGUAUAGGGUGUGACGCCUGCCCGGUGCCGGAAGGUUAAGUGAUGGGGUGCAAGCUCUUGAUCGAAGCCCCGGUAAACGGCGGCCGUAACUAUAACGGUCCUAAGGUAGCGAAAUUCCUUGUCGGGUAAGUUCCGACCUGCACGAAUGGCGUAACGAUGGCCACACUGUCUCCUCCUGAGACUCAGCGAAGUUGAAAUGUUUGUGAUGAUGCAAUCUACCCGCGGCUAGACGGAAAGACCCCAUGAACCUUUACUGUAGCUUUGCAUUGGAUUGUGAAUCGGUCUGUGUAGGAUAGGUGGGAGGCGCUGAAGCGAGGUCGCUAGAUCUCGUGGAGCCAACCUUGAAAUACCACCCUGAUUUAUUUGCGGUUCUAACCUUGGUCCGUUAUCCGGAUCGGGGACAGUGCAUGGUGGGCAGUUUGACUGGGGCGGUCUCCUCCUAAAGGGUAACGGAGGAGUUCGAAGGUACGCUAGGUACGGUCGGAAAUCGUGCUGAUAGUGCAAUGGCAUAAGCGUGCUUAACUGUGAGACUGACAAGUCGAACAGGUGCGAAAGCAGGACAUAGUGAUCCGGUGGUUCUGAAUGGAAGGGCCAUCGCUCAACGGAUAAAAGGUACUCUGGGGAUAACAGGCUGAUACCGCCCAAGAGUUCAUAUCGACGGCGGUGUUUGGCACCUCGAUGUCGGCUCAUCUCAUCCUGGGGCUGUAGCCGGUCCCAAGGGUAUGGCUGUUCGCCAUUUAAAGAGGUACGUGAGCUGGGUUUAAAACGUCGUGAGACAGUUUGGUCCCUAUCUGCCGUGGGCGCUGGAAAUUUGAUGGAGCCUGUUCCUAGUACGAGAGGACCGGAAUGGACGUACCUCUGGUGUACCGGUUGUCAUGCCAAUGGCAUUGCCGGGUAGCUAUGUACGGAAGAGAUAACCGCUGAAGGCAUCUAAGCGGGAAACUCGUCUAAAGAUAAGAUUUCCCGGGGGCUUGACCCC